GACACUGACACCCACACCACGGGCCACAUGACUGUCACACAGUCACUGUCCGUGUCACUGAGAUGGGGUCACGGUGGAAUUGUACAGAUUACUUUCAACACCUUACAGUGAGUUCUGCGGUGGUGUCCGUGGCCUUGCUGGCUGGGUACUGUACGGUACACAGAAGAAGGCGCCAGCAAGCCGCAGCCAGAGGCAGCGAGCAGAUGGUAUCAGAUCAAGUCGUCGAGGCAGUCACCAGUGCUGCCAAUGAAUACCAAGAGGCACCACCCCUGCAAAGCCCCUUAAAAGAAGAAGAAGAAGAAGAAGAAGAAGAAGAAGAAGAAGAAGAAGAAGAAGAAGAAGAAGAAGAAAAAGAAAAAGAAGUAGAAGAUAAAGAAAAAAGAAGUAGAAGAAAAAGUAGAAGAAAAAGUACUACAUAUGGUCAUGAUAGGAAUAGCAGUGCAUGCCCGUGGCGACACUUCCGACGCCUGUUCUCACAAAUGAGUUCAAUUUCUAGCUUUCUUUUGAUUGUCUGUGUUAGGGACAGAACACCUGAACACGAAUUCAUCUCAAGUCUAUCCAUCGAUUUCACCGCCACAACUGAGAGUGUGACUAUCUUGGAAGAAUUGGAGCAAUAUCGUACAGUUGGUGCUGGGUUUCAUAUGCUUAUCACAGGAUCUUGUAAAGAAGUCUGCAAAGUUAUGGAACAGGAACCAUUCUGAAUGAAAAUUUUCAAAAUGGU